CCUACGGGUGGCUGCAGUGGGGAAUAUUGGACAAUGGGCGAAAGCCUGAUCCAGCCAUGCCGCGUGUGUGAAGAAGGCCUUCGGGUUGUAAAGCACUUUCAGUGGGGAAGAAAGCCUUGGGGCUAAUACCCUCGAGGAAGGACAUCACCAACAGAAGAAGCACCGGCUAACUCCGUGCCAGCAGCCGCGGUAAUACGGAGGGUGCGAGCGUUAAUCGGAAUUACUGGGCGUAAAGCGCGCGUAGGCGGUCUGAUAAGCCGGUUGUGAAAGCCCCGGGCUCAACCUGGGAACGGCAUCCGGAACUGUCAGGCUAGAGUGCAGGAGAGGAAGGUAGAAUUCCCGGUGUAGCGGUGAAAUGCGUAGAGAUCGGGAGGAAUACCAGUGGCGAAGGCGGCCUUCUGGACUGACACUGACGCUGAGGUGCGAAAGCGUGGGUAGCAAACAGGAUUAGAUACCCCAGUAGUC
rnacentral:rRNA from 1 species